rnacentral:rRNA from 1 species
UACGUAGGGGGCUAGCGUUGUCCGGAAUCAUUGGGCGUAAAGAGCGCGUAGGCGGCCAGAUAAGUCCGGUGUGAAAGUCAAAGGCUCAACCUUUGAAUGCCGCUGGAAACUGUCUGGCUAGAGUCCGGGAGGGGCGAGUGGAAUUCCUGGUGUAGCGGUGAAAUGCGCAGAUAUCAGGAAGAACACCCCGUGGCGAAGGCGGCUCUCUGGGACGGUACUGACGCUGAGACGCGAAAGCGUGGGGAGCGAACAGG